rnacentral:rRNA from 1 species
UACGAGGGGGGCGAGCGUUGUUCGGAAUUAUUGGGCGUAAAGGGUGCGUAGGCGGUUUGGUAAGUCUCUUGUGAAAUCUAUGGGCUCAACUCAUAGUCUGCAAGGGAAACUGCCGGGCUUGAGUGUGGGAGAGGUGAGUGGAAUUUCCGGUGUAGCGGUGAAAUGCGUAGAUAUCGGGAGGAACACCGGUGGCGAAGGCGGUUCUCUGGGCCUUACCUGACGCUGAGGAGCGAAAGCGUGGGGAGCGAACAGG